GCCGAAGUGGUGAAAUUGGUAGACACGCCAUCUUGAGGGGGUGGUGACCUAACGGUCGUGCCGGUUCGAGUCCGGCCUUCGGCACCA
rnacentral:tRNA from 6 species